rnacentral:rRNA from 1 species
UACAGAGGGUGCGAGCGUUAAUCGGAAUUACUGGGCGUAAAGCGUGCGUAGAUGGUAGCGUAAGUCAGAUGUGAAAGCCCCGGGCUCAACCUGGGAAUUGCAUUUGAGACUGCUCUGCUCGGGUGCGGAAGAGGGAAGCGGAAUUUCCGGUGUAGCGGUGAAAUGCGUAGAUAUCGGAAGGAACACCAGUGGCGAAAGCGGCUUCCUGGUCCGACACCGACGUUCAGGCACGAAAGCGUGGGGAGCAAACAGG